rnacentral:lncRNA from 1 species
CCCAUACCGAACAAAUUCUUUCCCUAAGUUUUUCCCAGUCCUCGUUCUGCCGAGAGGAAUUGAUGUUCAAUUCGGCCACGACAUCAUCAUCAACUUCCAAUUUCUUGUACUGCUCGAUCAAGGACUUAGUUCGCUCAAUUUCUUGGGAGGCGUUACGCUUUUUCGCAGCCAUUCUCGCCUUGCAGUCGUCCAUUUUGGCCUGAAGUUCCUUCAUCUGAG